rnacentral:misc_RNA from 1 species
GGUGUACGCCACUCUCCAGCGCCAUCCACGGCAUCCAGAGAAGCGCUAAGAAGCGAGCAAAGAAGAGGUCGACUCAUGGGGCGGCCCGGCGGUUUCUUCAAGAAGCUGAAGGCGAAGGAGAAGCGCGCCUCCUCGCGCAAGCAGCGCGGUACCAAGGGCGCCUCCAAGGAGGACAGGCGUCGCAAGCACAAUGAGCGGGUGGAACUGUACGCGGCGAAGCGCGAGGCGGAGCAGCUCGCGGCGGUGAGUAGCUCCAGCGACGACGAACCGUCGACGGACUCGGAUGCAGAGGAGUACCGCCAGACAAAGUCGUUGCGGAAGCUUCAGAGGCUGCUGGGGGUGACGCCAUCCUCUGACACUCAAGCCACAUCGCACAAGCGUGCCCGCCGGCAGUCUGCAUCCGCGUCACGCCUCGGUGUUAGUGAAGACGAUGAGGAUGAGAAGAUGGCAGAUCCAUGGAACAGCAGUGGCGAUGACGACGCUGAAAACGCAAACGCGAGGGAAUCGCCUUCGGCUGACGGCAAGAGAAAUCGUCGCCCACCUCUGCAGCGGCGUCGCACCCGGCAUGAGUCAGAUCAAGCGAAGGCGAGCUCCACGCUCGCCAACGACGACGAUCUGGACGGCGAAGACUGGCGAUUAUACUUGGGUGGCGCUAGUGACAGCGACGACGACGAUGAGAGUGUGGAUGGCGGUCUCGAGGCGGACGGAGAAGUGACGGAGCUUGAGGAGGAGACGGACGACGCUGACGACGUCGUUGACAAAGACCUUCUCAUGGACAUGGGCGACGCCGACGAUGGUGACAGCGACCAUGGUAACGAUAAUUACGAGGGAAGCGAAGACGACGACAAUCCUCUCUUCGAGCUGGAGAAAGGUGAUGGCGAUGCUGAAGAAGUGGACGACGAUGACGAUGAUGGAGCAGAUCUCUUCGAUGAUGCGAUGAUGUACGACGGCGAGGCUGAAGAUGAAGAGGAAGACGAGGACGAAGAGCGGGAGGACACAUUUGUCGAAGACGACGACGACGACGCGGCGGAGGGCAAAGUUCGGGAGAGGGACGCGCAGAGGCGUCUUCUGCUGCAACGUUUCGAGCUCAGCACAAGCAGCGUCUCUGUUCUGCAGCAGUGCGGCAUUGUUGGUGUGGCCAACGGCACAAAGGGCAGCAUCAGCAACAGCGUUGUGUUGACAGAGAAGGAUGAGUGGAUGCGCAAGUACCACCUCGAUUUACACGGCACGCUUGAUGAGACGCCGCUGAAACCACUGCCAGUUCCGCAUGCUGCGUUGGAGCUGCUGGCCGAAUCGAACAAGCUUCUUCAGGUGCGCGCGGCUGAGCGGCUGGAGUCGACCAUAGAUAAGAAGGAGCUGGGCAUCUUCUUUGCUUCCCCGGAGGAGUGCGCUGCAGUGCACCCCGAGAACGUUGCAGUGCUCGCCACGGCGCAUGCGCAGCAACACCUGCUGCACGCGCCGUUCGACGUGAAGCGGUGUGCUGCUUCGUCGCCGCCGCCGUCAGCACCUCAGGUAGCAGAGCCAUGGACAGAGUGCCCGCCGUACCUCCACCCUGUUUUGUGGGAGAAGUGGACGGUGUUCCGUGCACACCGAAACCUGCCCACGUUCACCGCGGAGGAGCGUGGCCUGCUGGAUCUUCUUCAAGGUUACGCGGACCUGCUGGACACACUGCACUGCUGGCAGAACAGCGAGUCGCGGCGAGAGAUCUUUGCAUUGCACCUCCUCAACCACUGGUUUAAGGCCCGAUCUGUCGUGCUGGCGCAUGAUGCGCUGCUGGCAGAACAGCGAGAGAAGCAACGGCGUCGUCGUCGUGAACAGCAUAAGAGGCGAAACAGAAACGGCGGAGCCACGCUGGACAGCGACGCUUUCUCUGCCGAUGCUGAGUGGCCUGCAGAGCGGAGCUCUCCAGGCAGACAGGGCCGGCAGAGCAAGAGCAAGGGCAAGGCCGCUGCAAGCCAGCAAAGCCAGCCGAAGAAAGUGGCAAAGGCCGAUGAAACUAGCGGUGAGGCCGACAGCGAGCCGCGCGACGACUAUCUGGACGUCGAUGAGCAGGAGCUCGAGCUGCGCGACCGUGGCUUCAGCAAAACACGUUUGUGCGUGUUUUGCCCGCUGCGCAACCACGCCUACAAGUUUGUCUACUCACUGGUGUCCAUCCUGCAAGCUGACCCGUCCAAGUGCUCUAAGCUGGCGAUGUUCGAGCAAGAUUUUACGGAGAUCGAGGAGGCCGUCGACCCGACCUUCAAGCGGCGGCCGCGCGAUUACCAGCGCGCCUUCGAGGGCAACAUCGACGACUCUUUCUGCGUGGGGUUGCGGCUGGAGCCGGAGCUGGUGCACGUCUACUCACACCCUCUCAACAGUGACGUGCUCCUGUGCUCUCCACUCGGCCUGCGCCGCCGCAUCGAGAAGAACGGCGACGUUCUCGUUUCGCUCUCCUCCAUCGAGGUGUGCCUGCUCGAGGAUGCGCAGAUGCUCUUCCAGCAGAACUGGAUGCACGUCACAGCGGUGUUGGAGCUACUCAACAAACGCCCAACCGACACCACGCACGGUCUCUCUGAUCUGCGCCGCGUCUACGCGUGGGCGCUGGAGGGCAAGAGCGGUCGCCACCGUCAGACAAUAAUGUCGACGGAUGUGUGCAACGCGACGAUGCUGUCCACAUUCCGUACAGCAUCUGUGAACAACUCCGGUAAAAUUGUGCUGCAGCGUCGCGCCGACCCCGGGGUGCUGUCACGUGUGCUGGUCCCGGUGCGGCAGCACUUCAUCCGCUUCGACCCAAGCUCGCUGGCCACCGUUGACGGGGACCGCUUCGAGUUCUUCACGAAGCAGGUGUACGAAGCCAAGAUCAACGCCAUGGCCGAGCGCGACGUCCGAAUUAUCGUUUUCGUGCCCUCGUACUUCGACUUUGUGCGCGUGCGCAACUACCUCCACCGUGAGUACCGCGAGAGCUACGUGGCGCUGUGCGAGUACACCUCGCUAAAGCAGCAGCGCAGGGCUCUUGGUCAAUUCUCCGACCUUGAACGCCCGGUUCUGCUCGUGACGGAACGCUUUUACUACUUUAAGCGCUACUUCGUCAAGCUGGCGGAGGCGCUCAUCUUCUAUAGCCCACCAAUGUUCCCGGAGUACUACGCAUCCCUCACAAACAGGCUCGUGGCGACGUCGCCGAAUGCCUUCACAAUGACACUCUACUGCCGCUACGACACCCAUGAGCUGAACCGCUUGGUAGGCACGUCGCGCAUGUUGCAGCUGCUCGAGCGCGACUCCGGCGUCUUUUCCUUCGUCACCUCGUAGGGGCGACGGAGACGCCCAUGGUGAGAUAGAAGAGGAAGGGGGCGUAACGGAUGUUGUCGGCGAUGGUGCUGCGGAACGCGGUGAUGCAUGCGCGUGUAAGUGUCUGUCGGUACCGGGUGCCCGCGCGCGCGGCCCACACCUCCUCCUCCUCGCCUCGUCUCUCGCUCUGCCACCAGCGCUCCCCCCUCCCCCUUUUGUGCGCACACGCCCCCCCCCUCUCGGAAACGACUAAGCAGAAGUUGCAUAAGCAAUCUUAACGGCACGCCGCCUUCUGUUUCGGCCUUUGCCUCGCUUUCCCGAAC